AAUGAACGCUGGCGGCAGGCCUAACACAUGCAAGUCGAACGGGUCCUUCGGGACUAGUGGCGGACGGGUGAGUAACGCGUGGGAACGUACCUUUUGCUUCGGAAUAGCCUCGGGAAACUGGGAGUAAUACCGAAUGUGCCCUACGGGGGAAAGAUUUAUCGGCAAAAGAUCGGCCCGCGUUGGAUUAGGUAGUUGGUGGGGUAAUGGCCUACCAAGCCGACGAUCCAUAGCUGGUUUGAGAGGAUGAUCAGCCACACUGGGACUGAGACACGGUCCAGACUCCUACGGGAGGCAGCAGUGGGGAAUUUUGGACAAUGGGGGGCAACCCUGAUCCAGCAAUGCCGCGUGAGUGAAGAAGGCCUUCGGGUUGUUAAAGGACUCUUUUGUCUAGGGAAGAAACGGUGAGUUCUAAUACAGCUUGCUAAUGACGGUACCUGAAGAAUAAGACACCGGCUAACUACGUGCCAGCAGCCGCGGUAA
rnacentral:rRNA from 1 species